GUCCGAGUGACGGAAUGGCAUACGUGCCAGCCUUAGAAGCUGGAUCCUGUGGGUUCAAGUCCCACCUCGGACA
rnacentral:tRNA from 1 species